GUAGGGAAUAUUGCGCAAUGGGGGAAACCCUGACGCAGCAACGCCGCGUGGAGGAUGAAGGCCUUCGGGUCGUAAACUCCUGUCAGAUGGGACGAAACAGCUAUCGGCGAAAUACCGGUGGCCUUGACGGUACCAUCAGAGGAAGCCCCGGCUAACUCCGUGCCAGCAGCCGCGGUAAUACGGAGGGGGCAAGCGUUAUUCGGAAUUAUUGGGCGUAAAGGGCGCGUAGGCGGCUUGACAAGUCAAAGGUGAAAUCCCUCGGCCUAACCGAGGAACUGCCUUUGAAACUGUCAGGCUUGAGGCCGGGAGAGGGUAGUGGAAUUCCCAGUGUAGCGGUGAAAUGCGUAGAUAUUGGGAGGAACACCAGUGGCGAAGGCGACUACCUGGACCGGUUCUGACGCUGAGGCGCGAAAGCGUGGGGAGCAAACAGG
rnacentral:rRNA from 1 species